GAGAAAUUGGAAAAGAUGAAGUAUUUAAAGGAAGGAAAGAUGUUGAAAUCAAAAACCAUGUCUAGUUAUUGGAUGUAAGUAAAAAAAAGUUGAAUGGAUGUAUGUAAAAGAAAAAUCAGCUGCUGCCACUCGUCGGAUCUGCUAGGUUGGGUGGGUUUCUUUUGAGUCGUUUUUCUUUGUAUUUUCUUGAAUGGGUUUUUUUUGCCUAUUGAAUCUUAGUUAAAUUAAUUGCUAACUUUGGUGUUUGGAGGGCUAGAACGAAUUUUUUAGUGUUGAGGAUCGUUGUCCAACAGCUUAAAAUUUAGAUUGUCGUUGUCUCAUUGAGAAGGAGAAGGUUUCGAAUGAAGCCCAAGUUAGGUUUUGAUUCAAGGUGAUGAAUUGAGUUUUGGAAGUGGAUUGCUUGCAUAUAUACUUGUUGUUUGGGUAUAAUUUGAGGAAAUGCUACCAUGUAGAGGUGGAAGAAGGACUGGUCAAGAUGAUAGAGGUGGAAGACGUAAGCAACCUACUGAACAGAGAUUGUUGAAAAUAGAGGACAAACAACAUCUGCACACCCAAACCCUGAUGCACUUGUCACUGAUGCUAAUAUUGUUGCUUUGACUACACGACUAGAAAGAAGGUUCAGAAUUAUAAUGUUAGAGGUGUUGGCACAACAGACGCGGACUUAAGUGGCUCCUGCUCCCCAAAGCUAGGUUCCACAACAAAACUUGCUAGACAAGAUGUGUGUCCAAGCAAGCAUUUGAGAUUUUGAGAAAGUACGAUCCCUAAACUUUUGACGAGUCAUUGCAGGAUUCUACCAAAGAAAAGUUAUUGUUAUCAUUGAACGAAUGGAAUUCCCGUACUCAAAGAAUUGGUUUGCUACAAGUCUAUAUUAGUUCGUCCGGUAACUAAUGAAUGAAGAUUAAUUUAAUUUAAAAGUUUA